rnacentral:rRNA from 1 species
CAUGCAUGCCUAAGAAGUAGUACAAGCUUGAUCUCAAAUCUGCGAGAGGCUCCGUAUAUCUGUUAUCACCUACAGCCCGGGGAGCGCCUGGAUAACCCAGGCAAUCCUCGGGCUAAUACAUGUUUGUGUAUUCAUCUGGGGCAAUCUGCUUGGUUGGGUUCUCCGACCCUAGUUGCUCCGGGCUUGCCCUCACAUCCGACGGCCUUCCGCCCUUUGGGCGGGAGGAUGGCGGGAAGGGCGGCAAGUGACCCACACCGCCUUAAGCCGGGGUGGGUCAUGGAUACCAGACCUAUCAACCUCAGCGCCGGGGCGAGCCCCACGCUGGUGAUAACGGGUACAGAGGAUCAGGGUUCGGUCCUGGAGAGGUAGCCUUAGAGAUCGCUACUACUUCUAAGGAAGGCAGCAGGCGCGCAACGUUCCCACUGGGUACGCCCUGAGGACGUGAGGGGGCAUACCAAUGCGGCACCCUAAUAAGUGUCGCAAUUGGCAUGGGGGUGGCUUAGAUACACUACCGAGCAUCGAUUGGAG